CGGGGCUUCUGGGCACCGCCUUCUCGCGCUCGCGUGCCGGGCGGCCGGAGGCUGCUCGGGCUGCUGAGGGUUUAGGAUUCGGACUGGGCGGUUGUUGGCCUUAGGAUCUCGCUUGGGUGCGCGGAGAGGUGGGAAGGGGCAGCCGCCUGCACAUAUUGGGGGCCGGGUGAGCCAGAACGACCUCAGGAUGAAAACAUGCAAGCUGUCCGGCCUCUGCAGCCACCCCUAAAGGUGCCUCUAGAGGGAACUCAGGAUGGGAAAGAAAGAGAAAUGCCUCUUAUUAAAUACCGGAUUGCUUACACCCUAUACACCUAACUUUGAGAGCUCAUCUGCAUCAUUACUUCCUGAAAUAAGUAACUGAACUGACCCACUGUCAGGACUAAGAGGCUGGCUCAGUGAGGUAGAAAGCAACCUAUCAACUAAACUUCUGGACUGUGAAGACUUCUUAAGAGGAGUUCCAAAGGCGGCACUGCAGAGGAGCAAAAUUUAUCACCCCAAAAUGCCUCUUUAGCUUGCAGAUUAUUUUGAGCUGAAAACAAGUGAAGACCAAAAGACGCAGGAAGAAACUUUGACCAUCCUCCUGACUGCCUAAAGAAAGUUUCAACCCACCAGAAGAAUCUAGAAGUGUAGAAGGGAAAUGUCGUCCUCCUGACAAAGUGAACCUACGGAAUCCUAGACACCCCACCCUUGGACACUGACAAAGGCUGAGUUCCAGAUUCUCCUUCUCUCUCCUUCUCUAUCUGUCUCCCUCCCUCCCAUGACUUCACAAUUUGGCCCUGGGGCACACCGUGUACCCUCCAAGACCUAUGAGUAAUAAAUCUUCCUCC